rnacentral:rRNA from 2 species
AGCGGCGGACGGGUGAGUAACACGUGGGUAACCUGCCCAUAAGACUGGGAUAACUCCGGGAAACCGGGGCUAAUACCGGAUAACAUUUUGAACUGCAUGGUUCGAAAUUGAAAGGCGGCUUCGGCUGUCACUUAUGGAUGGACCCGCGUCGCAUUAGCUAGUUGGUGAGGUAACGGCUCACCAAGGCAACGAUGCGUAGCCGACCUGAGAGGGUGAUCGGCCACACUGGGACUGAGACACGGCCCAGACUCCUACGGGAGGCAGCAGUAGGGAAUCUUCCGCAAUGGACGAAAGUCUGACGGAGCAACGCCGCGUGAGUGAUGAAGGCUUUCGGGUCGUAAAACUCUGUUGUUAGGGAAGAACAAGUGCUAGUUGAAUAAGCUGGCACCUUGACGGUACCUAACCAGAAAGCCACGGCUAACUACGUGCCAGCAGCCGCGGUAAUACGUAGGUGGCAAGCGUUAUCCGGAAUUAUUGGGCGUAAAGCGCGCGCAGGUGGUUUCUUAAGUCUGAUGUGAAAGCCCACGGCUCAACCGUGGAGGGUCAUUGGAAACUGGGAGACUUGAGUGCAGAAGAGGAAAGUGGAAUUCCAUGUGUAGCGGUGAAAUGCGUAGAGAUAUGGAGGAACACCAGUGGCGAAGGCGACUUUCUGGU